AGAAGACAUACUGUUGAAAAAUUACACAUACUCAUUGAAUCUGGAGGUUAAAGCAACAACAGAUUACUUGUUUGAGGUAACAAGAAUGAAAGAAUCGUGGGAAGUAGACCUAGAAAAAAGAACAUGCACGUGCAACAGGUUCCAAAUAGAUGAAAUGCCAUGCGGGCACGCAGUGGCCGUGAUGAGGGAGAUGAACAUGGACCCGUACACCUACUGUUCAGAUUACUACACAAAAAAAAAUUGGCUGGCAACUUAUUCAGGGACAGUUUACCCAAUAGGACACCAAAGUGAAUGGGAGGUACCGGAAGAAGUGAAAAAUAUUACAGUCUUGCCUCCACAUGAAAGAGUAAAAUCAGGAAGACCAAAAACAUUAAGAAGGAAGGCUGGAUGGGAAAGGGAUCAACACAACAAGUGCAGCAAAUGUGGUGAACUGGGGCAUAACAAAAGAACAUGCAGCAGAAGACGUAGAAGGGAAUAAAAACAACAACAGAACAACAGUGGAAAAACAAAAGAAAACUACACAUACGUUAUGAGAAUUAGAUAUUGAGGAAUUUAAAUUUCUGAAAUACACAGGGAAUACAGUUUUUAUUUGAAAAACAUUGAUUACAUUGGGAAUUGUUGAUACUCUAUAUUGGAUAUUAAAAGAUGUUGGAUACUAAAUUGAAUAUAUAUAUGAAGUUUGUUAUUGAAACAGUUUGUGUUUUUAAUACUGAAAUGAAUAUUUGGAUUCAAAAAAACAGAGAAACUAUAAGAAAAAAAAAAACAAAAAAAGAAUGGAUGUGAAAUGAAAAAACAAACAACUUUAACAUACCAACUUGUUUGUACAUAAAAAUAAUAAGAAAAAACAUACAAAAAUAAAAGAUUACAUAUUGUCCACACAAAGCGUAAGGAAAAACAACAGAACACCAAUGUUUGUUUACGAAAAACAACAUGAAAAACAUUAAAACAACAUUAAAAAACUAUAAGAACAAUGACAGUCUGAUUGAAAAAGCAAAUCACUUCUUGGGAAGGCUGGGAGGGGCCUCGGAUUCACUUUCAAUGUUCUCAGUUUGCUUCUUCAUCCCAUAAUGAUAAAAUAACGCAGCCAAACGAUCGCGGUGAAUUUCCACAUCAAAAUCAGAGGAUGGGAUGGGUUUGCCAUCAAUGAAAUACUCAGCAAAUGAUGCAACAAAAACACCACAA